ACCACCAACCCCUUGUCAUGCGCACGUGCAUGUGUCACGUACCAACUGGCAACGCCCGCCACGAGUAUGGAAGCAGAUCAAAUAAAUAGACAUAUUUGAAAAUAAAUAACCACGAAAUGCUAUUUUUUGAGAAUAGGAGAAUUUAUAAUCAUGCAUCUCUCUUUGUACAAUCUACGCAACAAAAACCCACGGGAUUCAACGGCCAGGAUCUAACAGUGUAACGAUCCUGGUCAAUCAAAACGAAGAGCAAGCUCCUAAACGGCUCAGAAAGGUUGAGGAGCGGGACGAGCUAAACGCCGGGCAAGAGACAUAAAGGCGUUCACCAAUCCGACGAUGAUGGCCGCCUUCACCUGCCCUCUCCUCGGGAUCAGACGGCUCGAAAUCGUCCUCCCUCCUCUUCUCAUUCCCACCAUUCUCUCUCUUACUCCGC
rnacentral:lncRNA from 1 species